AUAUAUCUAUCAAAAGUGUUUGGUUCGGAAAUUUAUUGACGGUUCCUAAGCAAACGACCGCGUGUGGAAGGAGGGAGCCAGAGUUGCCAGGUGUACGAUAAUUAUCGUAUUUGUACGAUAAUUUUGGUCUCUGUACGAUGUACGGUCAAUAUUCCUAAAAAAGGCCAAAUGUACGAUAAUUUUACCAUACCAUGAAAAAUAUUGCACUAUUUUGUUUGCCAAAAAUUGAUCAAGGCUUGUUUUCUGACCCUUGAAAUGUUAUUUAUGCCUAAAAUAACUUUAUUCCAUUCAGAGGGAUUAUUUUUAUCAAUUUUGCUGAACACAAUUUAUCCCACACUAAAGAAAAGCCCAGCAUGGACAAUAUCUAGGUAUUUCAACUGCCAAAAAGUGAUUAAGGCUUGUUUCCUGACCCAUAAAAAAUAAAUCAAUUCCGUACUGACCCCACAAAGCUGCGAGUGCCUGUUAGACGCUAUUCAACACAUCAACAGACUUGUUAUUUUGGUUAUGACGAGUGUACGAUAGUUUACCUCAAAAUACGAUAAUUUUACGUCUCUAGUACGAUAAUCCUACAUUUCUCACCAGGCAACACUGGAGGGAGCAGGCAGAGACCUGCUGCCCAUAAUCAAACUGCCAGCCAGCAUCGGUUUAAACAGAACGAGGACGUAGCACGAAUAUCCAAUAUCCAACAACGCGGCCAGGACACAACGCGGUCAGGAAGCGCAUUGGAAACACUAGAGGGUGAAAUGCAUGUGGCGCUCCCAUGGCGUAACGUCAGUGCCACCCCGGUGGUGUGGGAACAGAAUUUAGUCAGACACCGGACUCUCACCGGUCUCACCCUAUUUUCAUUCAAACACUGCCUAGCUGAAGAAGCCUGACACUGAAAAGCAAGCAUGUUGCCUUUUAGCAGGAAAACUAAUUGAUUUGUCUACUCUAAACGGAACCUUAAGAUUCGACACUGCUGAGUGUGGUGAUGGUGCAGAUGAGCAUCUCCAGGAUGUAGAAAACGGCAGGAAAAAAUCUAUUUGAAUGCUCAGCAGAGAUUAUACUUCCUACAACAACCAAAGAAAUGGUCUGUACUUGUAUUGUGCUUUAUCAAGUCCCAAGAGACCAUAAAAGGGUUAAUACUACAUUCAGUCAUCCACGCAUUCAUACACUGACAGUGGUAAGCUACAUUGUAGCCACAGCUGCCUGGGGCAGACUGACAGAAUUGAGGGUGCCAUACAAUCAUUGCCAUGGAACCAUCUGACCACAAUCAGCAGGCAAGGAGGGUAAAGUGUCUUUGCUCAAGGACAUAAUGACUGAGACAGACAGAGCGGGGGUUCAAACCGGCUGGCCAACUGGCUACAGGAUGGGCCUUUUCCACUGUCACCACUGUUGCACCAAUCGAGAAGUACAACCUCUCACAAGAGCUGCUGGUCAUCUUUUACACUGCCAUCAUUCAGUCUGUUUUGUGCUAAACCUUCAAUGUGUCGUUUAACUCAUCUACAAAACAGGACAGGUUCAGGCUGCAGAGAAGAUCAUCAGGGCUGACCUUCCUUUGAUCCAGGACUUGUACAGGUCAGGAAAAGGGCAGCUAACAUCACUGCAGACCCCACACAUCCUGAACACAAUCUGUUUAGACUUUUAUCUUCAGGUCGGCACUACAGAGCGCUAAUUACAAAAACCAGCCACCACAGAGACAGGUUUCUUCCACCAGGCUGUCUCUCUGUUGAACACAAUGAACACCUCACAACCAGAGUAGUCAGCUACUCUGCAGGAAACCAAUAAGCAUAUUUGCACUAUCACAACCUGCCUUGCAUCUUUAUACAAAAAAAAAAAAAUACAGAAAAAGUGCACACAC